GAUUAACGCUGGCGGCGUGCCUAACACAUGCAAGUCGAACGAUGAAACUCAUUAGAUUUCUUCGGAAUGAAAAUGAAUGGAUUAGUGGCGAACGGGUGAGUAACGCGUGAGUAACCUGCCUUACACAAGGGGAUAGCCUCUGGAAACGGAGAAUAAUACCCUAUGAAACCAGACAAUCGCAUGAUAAUCUGGUCAACAUGUUUAGUGGUGUAAGAUGGACUUGCGUCUGAUUAGCUAGUUGGUGAGAUAAAAGCUCACCAAGGCAACGAUCAGUAGCCGGCUUGAGAGAGUGUACGGCCACAUUGGGACUGAGACACGGCCCAGACUCCUACGGGAGGCAGCAGUGGGGAAUUUUGCACAAUGGGGGAAACCCUGAUGCAGCGACGCCGCGUGAUUUAGAAGGCCUUCGGGUUGUAAAAAUCUUUUGUAUAGGAAGAAAAUGACAGUACUAUACGAAUAAGGUCCGGCUAAUUACGUG
rnacentral:rRNA from 1 species